UACGAGAGGCCCAAACGUAUUCGGAAUUACUGGGCUUAAAGAGUUCGUAGGCGGCGCAGAAAGUAGGGUGUGAAAGCCCUCGGCUCAACCGAGGAAUUGCGCUCUAAACUACUUGUGCUUGAGGAAUCUAGAGGUGAGCGGAACUGAUGGUGGAGCGGUGAAAAUGCGUUGAUAUCAAUCAGGGAACACCGGGAGGCGAAGGCGGCUCACUGGGGGAUUUCUGACGCUGAGGAACGAAAGCCAGGGGAGCGAACGGG
rnacentral:rRNA from 1 species